UUUCCGCAAUGGGCGAAAGCCUGACGGAGCAAUACCGCGUGAGGGAGGAAGGCUUUUGGGUUGUAAACCUCUUUUCUCAAGGAAGAAGAUAUGACGGUACUUGAGGAAUAAGCAUCGGCUAACUCCGUGCCAGCAGCCGCGGUAAUACGGAGGAUGCAAGCGUUAUCCGGAAUGAUUGGGCGUAAAGCGUCUGCAGGUGGCUAUGCAAGUCUGCUGUUAAAGAGUGGAGCUCAACUCCAUAAGGGCAGUGGAAACUGCGUGACUAGAGUACGUUCGGGGUAGAGGGAAUUCCUGGUGUAGCGGUGAAAUGCGUAGAUAUCAGGAAGAACACCGGUGGCGAAAGCGCUCUACUAGGCCGUAACUGACACUGAGAGACGAAAGCUAAGGGAGCGAAUGGGAUUAGAUACCCCAGUAGUCUUAGCCGUAAACGAUGGAUACUAGGCGUUGCUUGUAUCGACCCGAGCCGUGCCGAAGC
rnacentral:rRNA from 1 species